UUCUACCUGCAGAAAGUCCUCCAAGUCAGGCGUGGCUUGUGCUUGUGCUGCCGCAGUUUCUGACAAUGAUCCUCACCUGACUCAGCUCUCACAGCUGACCCCUGAGGAAAGUUCACACUCUGUUCUAGCCUCAGGGCUUUCUGAAUUCUGACUCUAAAUCCACCUUCCAGGCUGAAAUCCCAAAUGGCUCCUAUGCGCAGAGGGACAGAAGUCUCCAAGGAGACAGGAGCCCAGCGACAGAUGGGCUGGAAAUGGAGGUAUACAGGGGUGUGGGUGAGGAGGACAGAGGCCGGUGUAUUUGACUAGUUGAGAUGGGGCUCAGUACAACAUGUAUCUGACCCUGGUCCUGCACCAGCCUCAUGGACCAAGAAGCUGAAGGAACUGUUUGUCCGGGGGACUCCAGGAUGUGCGGUAGGUGGGAUAGACCAGCCCUGCUGCAAUAGUCCUGGUGCCAAAGUGGGAAAGAAAUUAAGUGGAGGGGAGGGGCCCAAGGCUCUAGUCUGCUGACCCUCCUCCUCCAAGGCCAGGGCAUCUCACAUCUCGCAAACUCUGCACCCCCAAUCAGCCCUAAUCAGACACAGGUGUGACUCGAGCACCCGGAACACCCCUCUGCCCUUCCCACCAGGGCCCACUGUGUGCCUCUGACUGUCCUGUCUCCACCCUGUAGCCAAGCCCAGUUGCUUUUGUUCCUCAUUCUCUGCUCCUGUCCUGUCGACCCAAACCGUGCCCCGAUCAAAUGGCUUUGUAUCUUGGAUACAAAGAACAAGCAGCCUACUGAGCCUCCUGAGCCUCCUGAACACUGGCCUCACUUCCUUUAUUGGGAUUGUCACUGUCCUGAGAAUUAUCCCUGGGACUCUGGCCCUUGCAGUCACCCUUCUGUGGAAGUCUCAUGACUCCCUUAAGACCCCCAGACAGGACCUUGUGUGCACAGCUCUGUGUCCCCCCAGCCACACUCCCCCCAUGACUGCCACUUUAUCUCCAGUAGUCCCUGGGUCUGUAUCCCGGUCCUGCUAUUCCUGUGCCGGGCCCAUCAUGGCAGUGGGCCUUGCUUGGCCGGGCAGGCCAGCUCCCCAACUACAGAAGAUGAGCUUGUGCCUCCCAUCAUGUGGUAGAGUCUGUCUCCUCACCCCUUGAAUCUGGGCUGGCCUGUGACUUGCUUAGGCAGCACAAUGCAUGGAAGCAAUGUUUCGUGCAUUUCAAGAGGCCUCUCAACUUGCGCUCUCACUCUUAGGAGUCCUGCCACUGUCCACAUGAACAUGCCCCAGCACACGCUGCAGAAUGCAGGCCCCCAGGGCAAGGACAGCUGUCCCACGAAGCCACCCGCUGCCCCGCUGCCCCUGAGACUCACUGCAGAUGUUUGGGCAAGCUCUGACAAACCCAGCUGAGCCCCAGCAAACCCCAGCCUAGACUUUCACUGCUGCCCACAGAAUCAUGAGCUGAGGGCAGGGCUGUCAUUUCCAGCCACUCUGUGUUGAGGGUUGUUAUAUGGCAAAAACUGUUCUAGCCCAUCCUAGAAAGUCCUUCCUUUUCCCACUCCUUCCGGACUCUGAGCCACCACCCUGGGUCCAGCACCAGCUCUCCUCCAGGGGCCCCUCCCUCACCCCUCCGCUCAUAGGCCCUCUUUUUCUCUGGCUUCCCAGGCACCAUCUGUCUGAAACCAUGUGUGGAGGUUGCUGGUUGUUUCUCCCACAUCCCUGCCGCUACCCACUGAGAUUAGAUGCUGCUCUCCACAACCUGGGGGUGGGGGGGCUCUUCGCGGAAGCUAAGCCAACCUUAGCUUGCUCCCCACCUGGUAUCAUGGCCUGGAUGAAGGAUGGCUGGGGCCUGGCUCAUGUCAACCCCACAGUGUUUUCUAACAGAGGUGGUGAGGAAGGAGUCAUGUCCCACUCUAGCUGCAUGUGGUAAGGUAAUGCUGGUGCCGUCAGCCCCAUACUCCCACCAUAUCCGAGCUGCUUGGAGAGGAUGAAGCCAACCCGCUGAGGAACUGAGAAGCCAGGCAUUACAAACCUCCCAAGGGGACUCAGGACAGCCCAUCUGUUCCGAGGCCAGCAUCAAGCCUACUCUUCCAGCCAGGCUGCUGUCCCGGUGAACCAGCCGACCGCAGACCCUGGGGCAGGACUUACCACCCUCCGCACAAACUCAUCAUGAAUGGAGUCCUCCACAAAGAGCCGGCCUGCUGCAAUGCAGUUCUCUCCUUUGUUGAAGAAAACAGAGCUCAUCCCCUUCAGAGAAUGGACAAGAACACCAGGUCACUGCUCCUCCUGGGACACCAGCCCCCAGCUCUGCCAGGGCCCAGCUGCCUCUUCUAAUUGGGAAAGGAGGCACCCGUGUGUCCUGAUCUCCUCCUGUGGGCCCCACUCAAUCCUGUCACCUCAAGAGGAGAGGUGAGAGGAACUGUGUGGGAAGUGAAGACGCUGAGGCCCAUGCAGUGACAGAGAGACACCACGCCCCAACUCCCACCACUGGAGGACAAGGCUGCCAUCCACACUGGCAGAGCAUGGGGACCAAGUGGGAGUGAGCCUCAGCCUGCCUGAGACCCUCCUGCACCCUGGGUGGCUCGCUGGGGUGGCCCAGGAGGUGCCGACUCCUGUUUGAGAGUCUACACUCUCGGGAGCUGACAGGAGAGAUGCCAGCCGUGUGUGUAAGCACGGAGCAGGAGGAGUGAGGACAGGACCAAGGCAACAACAAUACCAAUGGCCCGGCCCUCACCAUCUGCACAGCCUUGUUGAGGUCACAGUCAGCAAAGAUGAUGAGGGGUGACUUCCCGCCCAGUUCCAGGGACACCUUCUUCACGUUACUUAUGGCACAGCUGCAAGGAACAGAUGGCUGGUGGGGCCGGUCCCUCCAGGGCAGGUAGGGGCAUUGGGCCCCCAGGUGACAGGGACCUGGGUAGGCCCAAAGCAUGCUUUGCUGCAAGAAGCAAGACCCGGCCAGUGCCUCCCCACUCCCCCCAACCCCUUGCGGCUUCACACGGCCACCUGCCUUUCUUUCCUGGCCUGUACACACCGGGCCUGUGCCCCGCUGCCCCCUGGACUGCCCUUCCUGCUGUCCACUCCACACCUCAUUUCCUGCAGGCCUGUGUUCCCUUCUCUGGGGUGCCUCCCUGAUCGCCCUGUAUAAAACCACAGCCUGCCCGUGCACCCCAUCUGCUGUCUUUUGCUCUACUGCAUGUUGACCUCUGACCCCAUCUGCAGAGCAUGAGCCUGGCCAGGGCAGGCACGCAUCUAUCUGGGUCCUAUUACAGCCCUGGUGCCAAGCACAGUGCCUGCACGCAGCUGGUGCUGCACAAAUUAAGGAAUACAAAACAGCACCAUCCACUGCCACAGCUGCAGGGGCCCAGAGGCUGCGGCACCUCCCUGUAUUAGCGGCAGAGCAAACAGAGAGAGGCUGGGAGUCAUGAACACAUCACAUCAGUGAGCAAGAAAUGCACUGCAGGGAUGCUGUCCUCAGCUGGACACUCAGUCAACAGCCAGCAGGAAGGAGGCUCCACUGGGGAGGAGAGGCCUCCUCUGCAGAAGCAACCCAGGGAGAUGGCACCCAUCUCAGCUGCAGCUCUGGGUGACAUGGCUGCCUGGGAAGAAGAAAGCAGCUGAACCAGGGAUGCUAGGGCAGGAAGCUGCUCAGAGCUCUGCUUUGCUCUUCUUUUUUUUUUUUUAAAUAAAUUUUACUGUGUAU